AGGGUUAUUGGAACAUUAUCGAAUUCUAUUCCAUUUUCAAAGGCAUUCAACUGCAAACCUGGCUCAUCAAUGAAUCCAAUAAAAAAGUGUGAAGUUUGGUGACAAAACGAUAUCAUUAAAACUAGAAGUAGAAAUCUCUUAAUCUCUGUUACUUUUGAAACAAAAUAAAUUAUAUUAUAUAGCCAAUUAAUAUUAAGUUAUUAAUAUUAUUUUAUAUUUAUUUAGUGACUAGCAUAGCGGCGAACCAACAUGGUGUUAGAUAUUCAGA